AUGGCACUGACUGACACUUGGAUCAAACCUGAAGACACUGCCACUCCCGCAGCCCUCUCCACUAAUUUCACUUGUUCCCACACCCCUUGUACGACUGGGAGGGGUGGAGGUACUGGUCUCCUUAUAUCAAAAGACUGGAAAUUUGAUCUUCAACCAUCACCUACAGGUAACGGUUCAUUUGAAUCACAUGCAAUUACUGUAACCCACCCUGUUAAAAUCCACUUUAUGGUCAUUUAUCGUCCCCCAGGUCAAUUGGGAAACUUCUUGGAGGAGUUGGAUGUGCUACUAUCAAACUAUCCUGAAGAUGGUACUCCUCUGGUACUGCUUGGUGACUUCAACAUCCACCUAGAUAAACCCCAGGCUGCUGACUUCAACACUCUGCUCGCCUCAUUUGAUCUCAAGCGAGUGUCUACUACAGCGACUCACAAAUCGGGCAACCAACUGGACCUCAUCUACACAUGCUGUUGCUCCAUGGACAACUCUUUAGUUGCUCCACUGCACACCUCAGACCACUUCCUUAUUACUGCUAACCUAGCACUUCCUCCUGAAGCGGCACACACUCCAAUGCAGGUCACCUUUCGACGGAACCUACGCUCACUCUCUCCAUCUCGCCUAUCCUCGGUGGAUUCAUCCUCACUUCCUUCACUCUCUCAGUUUUCAGCUCUGGACACGAACAGUGCUACGGACACUUUUUGCUCCACUCUAACCUCUUGCUUGGACAACUUGUUCCCACGGUCGUCUAGACCAGCACGCACCACCCCAUCUGCCCUCUGGCUGUCCGGUGUUCUCCGUGAACAUUGCUCUAAACUCAGGGCUGCAGAGAGGAAAUGGCAUAAAUCAAGGAACUCUACCGACCUCAGUGUGUAUCAGUCUCUCCUCUCUUCCUUCUCUGCAAAUGUCUUCACUGCUAAAACAUCAUAUUACCACAACAAAAUUAACAACUGUUGUGACGCUCAGACACUCUUCAAGACUUUCUCUUCUCUUCUUUAUCCGCCUCCAUCUCCUCCUCCAUCGACUCUCACAGCUGACGCCUUUGCAGUUUUCUUCACAAAUUAG
ensembl:lncRNA